rnacentral:rRNA from 1 species
CAGUCGCCGCGGGAAUACGUAGGUGGCAAGCGUUGUCCGGAAUUAUUGGGCGCAAAGGGCUCGCAGGCGGUUUCUUAAGUCUGAUGUGAAAGCCCCCGGCUCAACCGGGGAGGGUCAUUGGAAACUGGGAAACUUGAGUGCAGAAGAGGAGAGUGGAAUUCCACGUGUAGCGGUGAAAUGCGUAGAGAUGUGGAGGAACACCAGUGGCGAAGGCGACUCUCUGGUCUGUAACUGACGCUGAGGAGCGAAAGCGUGGGGAGCGAACAGGAUUAGAUACCCCUGUAGUCCCUGUCUCUUAUAA